ACCCAAGGGCUGCCCGGCCGCCGAGUCCUUCCGGUGCUUCUUUCAGGCGGUAGUGCUUUCGCUCAGCCGGGCGCUUUAGAGUCUUCCGGUGGGAAGUCUGUCCACCUCUGCUGUUUAUUUUUCCACAAAAGCAACCUCAACAGACCGUCAUUCUCUUUUUCCUUCUUCGUAGUUCUGAGACACAUACAGGCCAAGCGGGUGCUCCCCUGCUGGCGAAACGUCCCGGAGCGAGUUCGCUGGCGCCGGCCGCCUGUUCUUUCCGCCUCGGUUCGCCCUUUCAGUCUCCGCUUCUCCUGGUUCUUUCCCUGCUGUGCCCGAGGCGCUCCUGUCUGGAAACAAACCCAUCCGGACCGUCGUCGCGCCAGCCUUCGCUUCCCUGCCCACCGCCCUUGCGACUCCACGGAAAGCUCCGACGUGGCCAAAGAUCUCCCCUAAAAAGCCUCUUUGUAGCAUUUAGUGCUACAACUAGUCUUGUCAUUUGUCUUCUGGGGCACUACCGUCUACUUGUUUUCCACUGUUUCUUCUAUCGGCAUCAUUCGAGGACUCCCAAUUGUCACAGAACUGUGUGUUUUCUAGAAGGGAAAUGAAAUCAACGGUAUCACACACAGCAUAGAGUAAGAGAAGGACUCAGAAUUAGGAAUUCCAGUAGACUGGUAACAUCAAAACCUGGUUGCAGUGGGAUAAGCAGUGAAUGGCAAGGACUAAAUAGAAGCACACCAAAAUGUGAACCGUGGGUACGUCUGAAUGGUGGAAACACGGGCAACCCUGUUUUUAUUGCCUCCCUUUCUGUUUAUUUUCCAAUUUUUAAUUAUCAUUCUACUACUUAAAAAUAUAACACAAAUUUUAAAUGUGACUAUAUUAUAAAGGAUUUAGAAAACAUAAUCACACCAUCUGAACUCAGUAGCUAUUGUCCAUUCUGAAUUCCUGUGCACCUGUUUAUUUACAGGCAGUCCCUGCAUUAGGAAUGUCCGACUUAACGAGACAACCCCCAUAAAGCCAAUUAUAUUAAAAAUUUGAAGUACAUACAAUGGUUUGUGAUAACAAAUAGUUGCUACUUUGUGAUGCACAUCAAAACAUUAUCAUUAUUAUAUUUUAAUAAUACAUGGAAGCAGAAGUCAAGAAAUCAAGUGACGUAUGGCAUUGGGCAAAUCUACUGCAAAAGACCUCUUUAAAGUAUUAAAAAGCAAAGAUAUUACCUUAAGGACUAAGGGUACACCUGACCCAAGCCAUGGUAUUUUCAGUUGCCUCAUAUGCAUGUGAAAGAUGGACAAUGAAUAAGAAAGACCGAAGAAUUGAUGUGUUUGAAUUAUGGUGUUGGCGAAAAAUAUUAAAUAUACCAUGGACUGCCAGAAGAAUGAACAAAUCUGUCUUGGAAGAAGUACAACCAGAUUUCUGCUUCGAAGCAAGGAUGGUGAAACUUCUUCUCACAUACUUUGGACAUGUUAUCAGGAAGGACCUGUCCCUGGAGAAGGAUAUCAUGCUUGGUAAAGAAGAGGGUCAGUGAAUAAGAGGAAGACCUUCAAUGAGAUGGACUGACACAGUGGCUGCAACAAUGGGGUCAAAUAUAGCAACGAUUGUGAGGAUGGUACAGGACCGGGCAGUGUUUCGUUCAGCUGUACGUAGGGUCACUGUGAGUUGGAACCGACUCCGGGGUACCUAACAACUACUAACAUUAUUAUGUUAAAGAUGUUUUGGUGUAUCUGGACGUGUUCCUUUAAUGUUUUUUAUGUAUAGAAAAGUACACUAUAUACUAAGACAAACAUCUAACUGACAUUAGAUAUGAACUGUACCUAAUUGUUCUGACUUACAUACAAAUUUGACUUAAAGACAGACUUAGUUACGGAACUCCUCUGUAAUCCAGGGAGUGCCUGUACAUUUGCCUGUAUAACUUCUAGUCAUCCAUGUUAAAACAGCUAAUGGUAUUAUGAAAUCCUGACUUCCCACGUGCUGAGUGUGGCCUCAUCAGAAGCUGGCAAACAGCACUGAAUGGGGGUAGAGUUAAGUACAAAGCAGGGAAAUGAGCGUUAAUGUACUCACUUAAACGCUCUGUGAGUUACUUCUGUCCCCAUUAGGUAGUAUCACUGUCUAGAAAAUAGACUGGGAGGCGAUUGCAGAGGGUUUACAAAAGGAGAGAGGAAGGCAAACUUUUCCUCAGUCAGUCUGAGAAGAAGCCGCUGGGUUCAUAAGCAAGAAUUGUUUUCUCUUGGGACCAAUGGAGGGAAGGCUGUCUUUGGCGGUAGCUGUGCUCAGGGCAUCCAGGCAGCACACACUCAGGCCAAGGUCAGGGGUGCAGGGACUCACUGUUCAUCUCUCAGUGGACAACCCCUGUAGGGGCUCACCGUCUGUCUCAGUGAACAACCCAUGUAGGGACUCACUGUCCGUCUCAGUGGACAACCCAUGUAGGGAUGCACUCUCUGUCUCUCAGUGGACAACCCACAUAGGGGCUCACUGUCCGUCUCUCAGUGGGCAACCCUAUAGGCGCUCAAUGUCUGUCUCUCAGUGGUCAACCCCUGUAGGGACUCACUCUCUGUCCCUCAGUGGACAACCCUAGUACACACAGCAUGCACAAGCCAAGGCACGGUACACAGCAAGGUAGCCAAGUCCAGAUUUAUCCAAAGAAGAGCAUCUCGGACCUCGUUCCUUCUGUCUCAUUGCUCCAACACACCUUUCCUCCAGCCCAGGUGUUUCUUCGUCUGUUCCUAGAGCUAGUCAAGGCCAGAGCUCUUUAAAUUCCUGGCCUCUGAAGAAGCAAUGUGUCCAUUCUCUCACUAUUCAGAACUUGCUUUCAAGCUUAAAGUCUACUCCAACACAGCUCCUCAACAGUCCCAGCAGACACCUCAAGUCCAAGGUCCUCACAAAGUCUCCAUUCUCCUGUUCACUCACGAUCCUCUUUUCUUCUGGAUUUCAGAGAGCAGAAGGAUGGGGUUUGUGGCUCAGGCACAGAUAAGCCUAAUAUUUACCAUCAUUCACAGACCUGCCAACAGACUGCUCAGGAAAAAUAUUCAGAGUCUUACUGGACUGCUGUCAUUUUUAAGAAACCUGUUUCACCCUUCUUCAACUAUCUAUUUACAGAUGGAGGCAACCUUCUCUGGGGCAGGGGGCAGACUUUCAAGAGAUUCCGCCUAAAAGCAGGGCUUGGGGGAAAAGGAAAUUGGCAUUGCUCUUAAAUUAUCAGCCCAUCCUCCAGGGGAGGGCAGGAGCUGUGAAGUGGUCACAGAGGCACUAUCCCCUCAGGACAGGGACUGUUGAGCUGCAAGACGAGGGGCUGGAAAGAGGCCUCCAAGGGCUUUGUCUCCAGCUGCAACAAUCAAUGUUAUUCUGAUUCUGCUGUCUGGGACAGGUGAUCUGCGAGACCUGAGUCUCUAUACUUCUUUGAUCAUAGACCCCAAUCAAUAAAAAGUGCCAGUUCUGGUAUUUUUUUUUUGCUCAAUAGUAGUAUUUUCAGCUAAUGUUUCUUGCAGGACUCUUUCCAAGCUACUUGUACAUCUCCUUAAGGGUAUUUUAGUUAAAACCAAGAGACCUGUAAAUCCACAUAGCUGAGCUCAGGUGCAGUGCCGUUAAGCUGCAAUGUUCUGGAAGCCAGCAGGUGAGUGAAGCCGCAGCUAUUCAUCCCCUACCACCCCCACCACGGGAGGUCCGGGUUUGCCUCCGUAGUCCUUACAUUCCAUACAGUAAAGAUUAAUGGGACAUGUAAAUUUUAGACAGUGGUUUUUUUUGUUUUUUUUUUUUUCCUUUUCCCCUUCCCUAUGUCACCUGUGGAAACCUUGGUGGAGUAGUGGUUAAGUGCUAUGGCUGUUAACCAGGAGGUCAAAUCCACCAGGAGCUCCUUGGAAACUCUGUGGGGGCACUUCUACCCUGUCUUAUAGGGUCACUAGGAGUUGGAAUCGACUCGACGUCAAUGGGUUGUUUUUUUUUUUUUUUUGGUUUAAGUCACUUGUGUAUCUCCAGGGAACAUCCUAUGGCUGCACCCUCUUAGAGCCAGAGGCUGCCGAGGCCCUAGCCUGUGGCAGGGAGUGUGCUGGAGGCCUUGAGAGACCUAAAGAUACAAGUCUCUGCCCUGAAGGAGAUCUUUCAGGGCAACAGGACAGAAAAAAUUCUGAGGGAACUGGAAUGUGCCUCCGGGCCUUUCCCCCAAAGUGGCAGUUUUGAAGUCUUUGCAAGUUGGACUGGACAUAAAAUUCCUGGGAUAAACAUUUCUUACCAAAACUCUGACUUUUCCCUCAUUUGCUAGCAUUAAGGAUUGCAAAAGAGAAUCUUGAGGUUACCUUGAUUUGUAUUCCUUUCGCACUAGCCCUUUUUUCCUCUGCGUGAAUAUGCCUGUUGGGAAUUUUUAAAAAACCCUUGCAAUUCAAAUGAUUGCCAAGAUGUGUUUAGGUGAAUGUCAAUUUUCAUUUAAUUAUUUCAAGGGAGCUCUUUUCAUCUGUAAAUUCACGUUUUUGUUUGUAAAGCUCAUUUUAACUUUCUUACAGUCUUUUUCAUUUGCUUUGGUCUAUUCUUCAGGAACACCAUUGGUAGAUUAGUAUCUUGGUUUCUCUUCUCUGAAUCUAUCAUCUUUUUCACCAGUGUUAUCAGUGGCACAGAUUUGACUUACCACACAUUGUCAAUUCUGCUCUACAUUGAAAUUAAUGAGUGGGAAGCAGGAGGAUGAGUAAGAAUUUCAGAGAAGCUAAACUUCAGUAACAGAAACCAACAGAAGGAAUGACGGAGCAGAAGGUCAUCGAUGCCUGCUGAAACUAGUGGGUGAAAGCUUGGUAGCUUCAAAGGCUAUCCCUACAAAGCACUUGUGUUAAUAACAGUUGACAUGAGGCUUAUUUCCAAAAUGUAAAGAUAACUCAUAUCCCUACUUUCCCACUUCAUUCUGACACAACCCACCCACAUGGCACUUUGUCUCUCUAACCCUACCCACCAAGAGUUGGGUCUCCAUGAAUUAGGACUGUCCUUCUAGUGUUUGGCAAAUGUGGGUUCAAUAAUUUGCUACAAUGCCCCAAAGAACUCACAGAGAUGCCUCCACUUACAGUGUACCCAUUUAUUAUAACCAGAAAGGACACAGGCAAAGAGAUACAUCAGGCAAGAUCUGGGAGAGGUCCCAGCAGACAAAGCUGUGUAGCCUCUUCUCCUGUGCAUGGAUGUUCUAGCCAGUCCAGGAAGCCCAAAAGAAAGUGCUCCAAGGCCCAGAUUCCCUUACAAGUCAUUGGGACCUCAAUGCAUAUGCCUGACUGAGCCCUGCGCCCCUUGGACACAGGUGUUCACACAGCGUCCAAAUCACAUAACGUUCUAUUUCACAGAAUGUAUCUGGAUGUUAAGUGAUGCCUACCUGUAUAUCCAUACAGUGGAAUAUGAUUCUGCCAUAAAGAGAAAUGAAGGCCUGAUACAGGCUACAACACAGAUAAACCCUGAAAACAUUACACUGAAUGAAAUAAUCCAGAUACCAAAGGACAAAUAUUGUAGGAUCCCAUUUAUAUGCAGUAUCUAGAAUAGAUGAAUGCAGAGACAGAAAGCAGAUUAGUGGGUACCAUGGGCUGGGGAUGGGGGUACGGGAAUUGGGGGGAGGAAAAAAAAGGCACCCAGGAAGACAGUGGCAGAGUGAACAGCUGGUAGGUGUUUCUGCCUCUGUACCAUCUUCAUCUAGAUUUGUUCUUUACAUUUUCCCUUAUUUUCUAUGCCCCCCCAACCCUGGGUUCUAGAUAUGCAGCUUAACAACUGAAAUUUAUAACUAUCACCUAAAAAUAUGACCACCCUAUAAAAACCGGAUACAGCCAACCUAAACUUUUGGGAGACUGCAACCACUUCCAAGUGAUAUGAAUUAUUCUACUCCCAGGCCUUUGGAAGCACCUCCCUGUGACUCAAAAAACAAACAAAAAAAAACCAAACCACAACAAACCAUACCCGUUACCGUUGAUUCCAACUCAUAGCGACCCUAUAGGACAGAGGAGAACUGCCCCAUAGAGUUUCCAAGGAGCACCUGGUGGAUUUGAACCGCCGACCUUUCGGUGACUCAGUUGCAUUUAUUAGGUAUCUCCCUGGACAGGGAGCAUUUUCAUGCCACAUAGAAAGCAACUUACAGGUCUACACACACACGGAAAAGAAACACUACGCAGCAUUAUAUAUUUGUAGGUUGUGGGAUUAUAAGUCUUUUUCUGUGCCUUUUCGCAUUUUCUACACAGUGCAUGUAUUAUUUAUGGCUUCAAAAAUAUUAAAAAAAAAAAAAAAAGUCCUGAAUAAGACGGAUUGGAUCAAAAGCUCUUUGAGCUCCUACUCUGUGCCAGACACACGACAGGUGCUGGGUUGUGAAAGAAAAAAAAAAAAAAAAAGAACAAAAUAUAUGGUAUUUCUAUCUUUGUAGUGGUUAUAUUCUGCAAGUACAUGUAUUUGUGUCUUGUGGCUGGGUGUAGUGGAGGGUAGGGCUACAGGGAAGAGGUCGGUGGAGGGGAAGGUGGGGCCGGGUCCAUGGGCCCAUGGUGAGGCCAGGUAAUAGUCUAUAACCAGUGAGAUCACAAAUCUGAUACUGCGAACAGUUAACUAUAAAAUGUUACGGUGGAUUAGUUUUAGAACUUGUUUUGAAGGUGUCAAACCUGAGUAGUAAUCAUACCUAAGGAGCCCUGGUGGCACAAACCGUGAAGUGCUCAGCUGUCAACCUACAGGAUGGCAGUCUCUGCAGGAGAAAGACCUGGCGAUCUGCUUCUAGAAACAUUACAGCUAAGAAAACUUUAUGGGGCAGUUCUGCUUUGUCACACAGAGUCACUUUGAGUCAAAUCAAGUCUAUAGCACCCAGCAACAACAACCGUCAUACCUAACUCUACCCCCUACCCUUGCCUGGUUAUGGUGGUUUACACACACUGAAUUGAUGGGAGACAGCAAAUGUCAGGCUGUUUCCUUCGCUUGCCCUUCUCCCAGGGCAAACCUCAUUCUUAAAACGUUUUACUCAUGAUUCUAAAAUAAAUGUCAUAAUUGCAAGUGUUUUUAAAAAAGCCAGCACCCAAAACCUCCAUGAGCACUUCCUGAAAACCUUCAAGUCCUACUCACACCUGUAGCCUAUCGAGAAAAGCAACCAACCAACCAAAAAAUCCACUGCCAUCGAAUUGAUUCCGACUCACAGCAACCCUAUAGGACAGAGUAGAACUGCCCCAUAGAGAUUCCAAGGAGCACCUGGUGGAUUUGAACUGCUGACCUUUUGGUUAGUAGCCAUAGCUCAACCACUAUGCCACCAGGGUUUCCAUCGAGAAAACCAGCACCUUGUAAAUGGGAAAUGGGGGUGGGGGAUCGUGUUUGGCUCUUCCUUUCCCUUGGCUCUGAUACAGAUACCCCGAUAAGGCAGUGAUUCCCAACUCUGGCUGCAUCUUAGAAUCUUAAAAAAAAAAAAAAAAAAGCUUCCAUACCAACCCCACCCCAGACCAAUUAAGUCAUAGCCUUGGGGGAUUAGAUGCUAAAUUCUAUAGGCUCAUUAUCUCUAUUAGCUUCGCAAUUGUCCAUUUGUUCUGGCAACUAAUUCAGGCCCACAUCAUCUCAUAGCUUUGCUAAUUAAACAGUAUUAUAAUUGUUCUCUCAGUCUCUAAUCUUCCAGUAGUAGUGGGGGGGGGGGGUUGGAGGUGGUGGUAAGCUAACAGUCAUUGAGGGCUUACUUGGUGUGAGGCACUAUUUUAAGCUCAUUGUACGCAGUGCUUCAUUUUCUCACAACUCUCUAAGGUCCCUCCCUCUACUAUUCUCCAUU